UACUGCAUCUCUUGCCAAAGCAGGCAAUGAGAUGAACAUGAAGAAAGCAUGUGCACGACCUGUAAGGAAAUGCAUGCAUAGAUAAAACACAUGCAAUCACAAGCUUUUGUGCCAAAACAUUAAAAGCAAACAUACAGCCAACCAAAUGCAUGCAACUAAAAUAUCCUUGGUAAAUGCCCAGACA